rnacentral:rRNA from 1 species
GACGAACGCUGGCGGCGUGCUUAACACAUGCAAGUCGAGCGGCAGCGCGGUCUUCGGACUGGCGGCGAGCGGCGGACGGCUGAGUAACGCGUGGGAACAUGCCCCAAAGUGAGGGAUAACCGCCCGAAAGGGUGGCUAAUACCGCAUACGAUCUUCGGAUUAAAGGAUUUAUCCGCCUUGGGAGUGGCCUGCGUACGAUUAGAUUGUUGGUGAGGUAAUGGCUCACCAAGUCGACGAUCGUUAACUGGUCUGAGAGGAUGAUCAGUCAGACUGGAACUGAGACACGGUCCAGACUCCUACGGGAGGCAGCAGUGAGGAAUCUUCCACAAUGGGCGAAAGCCUGAUGGAGCAACGCCGCGUGCAGGAUGAAGGCCUUCGGGUCGUAAACUGCUUUUAUAAGUGAAGAAUAUGACGGUAACUUAUGAAUAAGCACCGGCUAACUACGUGCCAGCCGCCGCCGUA